rnacentral:rRNA from 1 species
ACGUAGGGGGCGAGCGUUGUCCGGAAUUACUGGGCGUAAAGGGUGCGUAGGCGGUUUGGUAAGUUGGAUGUGAAAUACCCGGGCUUAACUUGGGGGCUGCAUCCAAUACUGUCGGACUUGAGUGCAGGAGAGGAAAGCGGAAUUCCUAGUGUAGCGGUGAAAUGCGUAGAUAUUAGGAGGAACACCGGUGGCGAAGGCGGCUUUCUGGACUGUAACUGACGCUGAGGCACGAAAGCGUGGGGAGCAAACAG